UUCUAAAGGCCUUAUAUCCAUGCUCUCUAAAUGAAAUAUCCUUUUUCUAGUAAAACAAAAUACACAGUAUUCUCACUGUUACUAUCACUAAUAGAUCAAUUAAUCCUUGAAUAGUUACAACAGAUUAGAACAAAGAUACAACAGCAAUAAAAUGCAGAAACAAUUAAAAGAGUGGCAUUUGUGUCGUGCACUCCAACUUUUUCUAAUUUUUGACAAGUAACAUCACAUAUGAACAAUAUAAUGGCAACUAUCAGUCACUCACUGAUUGUGAUGACGCAUCGCCUCCCAUCAACUGGCCUACUUCCUUUUUUCAUCAGAGACCCAAACAGGAUGGAUUAAACCACGACUUAACUUGGAAUUAUCUCAGAUCAACCAUUACCAAGUUAUCUGAUCUUUGUGCCUUACUAAACCAUGCACAUCGGCACAAGCUCAGAGAUCUCCAAAACUUUAGAUGAACUUGAGCAUUGCAAUAAAUCUAUGCAAUUACCAAGCUCUUCACUGCCCCCCUAACUGCAUGUUAUACUAAUGCACCUGUGACAGAUAUUGAUACUUGGGUAUUAUCCCUAAAUCUAUGAAAAAUAAUAAUAACGAUGUGUCCAUGCUAACACAGAUAAUUCUAGCACACUCAAAAAAUGACCAACAUACAUAGAACUUAAAUUAUGAUUCAAGAACACACUAAAAAUAUGUGCUACCUACCUACUAUGCAAGAAAAGAUAAUUCAGGUUCUGAAUAUGAUGGCAGGCUGAAAGUAAAAGUCUUGAAGUCAAUCAAAGGCAAUGAUAUUCACCUUAUAAAUGAUCCUAGCACAAUACAGAAGAACAAAUACAGUUCAUAUAGAUGCACAAUGCCAUAAACAUUUUCUGAUAUUUUCUUUCGGCAAUCAAAUUUAAAACCAUAUGAUUGAAAAAAAAAAAAAAAUCUCUUACAACCCUGCUUUACCUUAAUUACCAAGGCUCAAUCACGCUAGUACAUUAGCCUCGGGUAAUAUUUCUCUUGCUAGGUUCCAAAACCCACACACUACUUGAAAAAAACCUCAGGCUGCAACGCUGCUCUCAUUCUGCUAUCAUAAAAAAUUCCUCAAGUCAGACUCUUGCAAUCACAACAUCAAAGUAAUAUUCCAUUACACAGAUUAUCUUUUAACCACGAAAAGUGGUCACUCUUUGCACACUGCAUUUUACAUAUCGCUUGCAUAAUCUCUUACCUGCUACUUCAUAUCCUGAUAAAAAUUUCUUUCACAACCACAACUCUCACAGAAACAUGAUGCACGUAAUUAUCAAUAACCUGAUGUGUCAAAGUAAAUUAACAAUAGUGACCCCCUAUAUGAAAUCACUGAACCAACUGCCAAUGUGUCAAAUAUUUUUCUAUCCAAAUCCCCCUUGUUGCCACAAAAUAAACAAUAUCAAUCACAUCUGAGAUUUUUUUUUUCUUUUAGGCAGGUAAUUGCUAAAAUUAAUAUUGCAAUAGGCAAAGGAACUUGUUGCAAUAAGAUAAUAUUUAGAACAUACCCUUCUCUUUCUAAUUAGACUUCAAGUAAUUCAUAUUAUACUUGUUCACAAACAUCACAGCCUGUUCAUAAUGAUCAUAGAGAUAUUUAGCUUCAAUGAUGUUCAUAAUAAUAUUAAUAAGAGACAACCAUGUGGCAGUAUCUCCAAACCUAAUAAUAUAAAUACAAGGUGUGUGCGUGCGUGUGUGUGUGUGU
rnacentral:misc_RNA from 1 species